rnacentral:rRNA from 1 species
UACGGGGGGAGCAAGCGUUGUUCGGAUUUACUGGGCGUAAAGGGCGCGUAGGCGGUAGCACAAGUCAGUUGUGAAAUCUCCGGGCUUAACUCGGAAAGGUCAACUGAUACUGCUCGGCUAGAGUGCGGAAGGGGCAACUGGAAUUCUUGGUGUAGCGGUGAAAUGCGUAGAUAUCAAGAGGAACACCUGCGGCGAAGGCGGGUUGCUGGGCCGACACUGACGCUGAUGCGCGAAAGCUAGGGGAGCGAACGGG